CCGGUGAAUGACUUAGCCACUUAACCUUAUUAGGAGUAAUAUGUAUGUGGUAAAGGUUAGCUAAUGGGUUUAGCUAAUGAAAUACAAUUUAUGAUAUUACGAAGUGAAAGUGUAGGAGCAGGGAAAAAAAAAAAAAAAAAAAAAAGAAGGCCUCCUGGUUUGUGCCAAGGUUAAGUUUGUGGACUUCCAGCUGAGGCACGUGAGCCCAAGAUCUCCACCUGCUGAGGUAAUCAGCCAGCCCAGGCCUACAGGUAGCUGCAAGAAGCUUAACGUGUGGAGAAACUAACUUCUCCUUACAAAGAUAUGAUUCUAACUAUUUCGACCAGACUGUCUUGGGGCCCUACCUCUCAGGAACUGAGUGCUGGAAAACCUCCACUGGAAAAAAACAAAAAACCAAAAAAACAACAACACCCUUUUAAAAGAGAGGAUAUCAGAAGUAUACAUCUUUUAUCCAUGCCCCACACACUUGCAUGUGAAGGGAGAGCACCAGCUGUUUUUCUCAUGGAGGCACUAUGGAAAACACACCUCUCAAACUGGGGCUCACAGCCAGGACAACUGGUGAUGGUGACACAAAAAAGCAACUCAUCACAGGCACUACAUGACAUUGAGGGAUUGAACAAGUAAGUCCAACAGAACCAUGGAGGGGUAUGAUUGUACUAUUAUGAGGUCAGAGAUUAUGGCUGUGGACCAAGAAGAAUAUAAUUCAGAUUUCAACGUAAAGUAACUGCAGCUAUUUCAUGCAAAGAGUUCUAUGUAUUCUUCUUCCUUCUCCCUGUCCCUCUUUCCUCCCUAGCUACAGACUGUCACCAUCUAAGAAUAAGUGAAAAAUGAUUUUUGAGUAUUUAUACGUAUACUGACAGCUGUAUGACUUAAAUUUAAUUUUUGAAUAAAUCACCUAAUAACAAAGACA
rnacentral:lncRNA from 1 species